rnacentral:misc_RNA from 1 species
CCGAGUUUACAACUCCCAAACCCAAUGUGAACGUUACCAAACUGUUGCCUCGGCGGGGUCACGCCCCGGGUGCGUAAAGCCCCGGAACCAGGCGCCCGCCGGAGGAACCAACCAAACUCUUUCUGUAGUCCCCUCGCGGACGUAUUUCUUACAGCUCUGAGCAAAAAUUCAAAAUGAAUCA